GAAAUGCGAUAAGUAAUGUGAAUUGCAGAAUUCAGUGAAUCAUCGAAUCUUUGAACGCACCUUGCGCUCCUUGGUAUUCCUUGGAGCAUGGCUGUUUGAGUAUCAUGAAAUCUUCAAAGUAAAUCUUUUGUUAACUCAAUUGGUUUCUACUUUGGUAUUGGAGGUCUUUGCAGCUUCACACCUGCUCCUCUUUGUUCAUUAGCUGGAUCUCAGUGUUAUGCUUGGUUCCACUCGGCGUGAUAAGUUAUCUAUCGCUGAGGACACUGUAAAAGGUGGCCAAGGUAAAUGCAGAUGAACCGCUUCUAAUAGUCCAUUGACUUGGACAAUACUUUUAUGAUCUGAUCUCAAAUCAGGUAGGACUACCCGCUGAACUUAAGC
rnacentral:misc_RNA from 1 species